GGUGGAUUUAUAGCCCACUCCCAUGGAUGCCUUAGAACACUCAGUAUUGUUGGAUAUGCAGCCCACUGCAUGGAUGCCUCAGAACACUCAGUAUUGGUGGAUUUACAGCCAACUCCCAUGGAUGCCUGAGAACACUCAGUAUUGGUGGAUUUAUAGCCCACUCCCAUGGAUGCCUUAAAACAGUAUUGAUGGAUACGCAGCCCACUCCAAUGGAUAUCUUAGAACACUCAGUAUUGGUGGAUUUAUAGCCCACUCCCAUGGACGCCUUAGAAUACUCAGUAUUGUUGGAUACGCAGCCCACUCCAUGGAUGCCUUAGAACACUCAGUGGAUAUGUGACACACUUACAUGGAUGCUUCUUUUGGGGAAUAUUGUAUAGGUUAAAACUUUGGGCAAAUUUUCUCUUCCACAGUGUUUUCGAAUGAUGGAAACAGAAUGAGAUGAAGACUGUCCAUUGAUAUAAAUAGUAACUCAUUAUUUUUCCUCUUUGGGAGUUACUCCUCUGUCCUCAAAGCUAAUUCAAUGUGUGGGCCUUCUUUCUGAUGAGCACCAGGGAAUUGAGACAUUCUUCUUGGCCUUAACUAUCAGCUCAGCAGUGGUGAGCAGCAUGUGUCAUCGGUCGAGGAGCCAGUAUCCAGGGAAACCAGUCUUCAGAUGCAGUGUGUGCCCUUCACGAGGGACUCAGAAGGUGAAGCACCUGAACAUAGACUUUUCCAUGCUUUUCCACAAAAUUUAAGAGUUUCUUUUUUGUUUGUUUUAAAUUCGAGUGGCACAAAACAAGGCUCCUUAACUUUUCUGAAUGAGUGAAGAGUGUAAGAAGGUGUCAAAUAUCCACAAGCCCCGAGCACAUUUACUUAUCACACAGAACUGUUUCUUCUUUUGUGUAUUUCCUUGGCACUACUUUUAUUUUUUAACUAAACUUUUUAGUUUUUCUUUGCCACAUAGUUUUGUGAAUGAUAAUGUGAGAAACUAUAAAUUUAGUCAAAGUAUCCUGCCUGCACCUCUUUAAUAAUCACCAACUUCUUACCAUUGACUCACUUAUAACCGUUUCCAGAUUUAUGGAGGAUGAAGACCUAUCGUACCAAUGUGGCAGUUGAAAAGUGAAUUGCAACACAAUGAGAUAUAUUCACAUUAGGAGAGGAGCAGUACCUGUGCAUUCAGAACUGGAACUGCAGGUGUACCAUUACUGUUGAUAGAGGCAUCUCCUGCCGCGGUCCACCCAGCCUGAGCUGCCAGCCUGCCUAGCUUCUGCAAAGCCCCGAGUUGUCAUGGCAACCACUUCCUGAGACUUGAUACUCAUGCCUGCAGACUCUGGGUCCUGACUUAAAUAGUUUUAUUUUUUUUAAAAAGGCAUAAAUUGAUAGUGCAAUAAAAUCUGGUUUAAAGAUUG
rnacentral:lncRNA from 1 species